rnacentral:rRNA from 1 species
GUGUCAGCCGCCGCGGUAAUACGUAGGGUGCGAGCGUUAAUCGGAAUUACUGGGCGUAAAGCGUGCGCAGGCGGUUAUACAAGACAGGCGUGAAAUCCCCGGGCUUAACCUGGGAAUGGCGUCUGUGACUGUAUAGCUAGAGUGUGUCAGAGGGGGGUGGAAUUCCACGUGUAGCAGUGAAAUGCGUAGAUAUGUGGAGGAACACCAAUGGCGAAGGCAGCCCCCUGGGAUAACACUGACGCUCAUGCACGAAAGCGUGGGGAGCAAACAGGAUUAGAUACCCUGGUAGUCCACGCCCUAAACGAUGCUGACUAGUUGUUGGGAAUUUACAUUCUCAGUAACGUAGCUAACGCGUGAAGUCAGCCGCCUGGGGAGUACGGUCGCAAGAUUAAA